CAUGAGAAUGAUGAGUUGCAUGCUUCAGUUGAGGUGUGGUGCAGUGGCAUCAACACCCAAUCUGAUGUAACCUGAUGAGACACCCUAUGCACAGGGGCCAUCUGACUCAAG